AGUAAUGGGGAUCGCUGUGAACCGGGGCGCUCGCAUUUCCACCUAAGCGGAGAGAGACAGACAGCACGGACGAAUAACAGACUCGACGUCGAUGAAGUGUGUCAUUUAAUAACUGGAGCACCGCGUCCGUUUAUCAUACUCGUGCUUAUAAGCGUUUUUUACUCUCAAAAAAGAGCCCCACUCGGCAAGUUAUCGCCAAUAAGACCAGGAUAACAAGUCUGGUAAACCUCUCUACAGACCGACAAAUAGCAAAGUUGAUGACCCAGAAGGAUCUCUUUCUCUUGGCCACUUCGUCACUGUCUUUGAAGACGGACUAUCCAAACCAUUCAACAAGGAAACUCCUUUCUAUCGAGACCUUGGCUCCUGAAGAAUGAGCAGCCAAUG